AUUGAACGCUGGCGGCAGGCCUAACACAUGCAAGUCGAGCGGAAACGAGUUGUCUGAACCUUCGGGGAACGAUAACGGCGUCGAGCGGCGGACGGGUGAGUAAUGCCUAGGAAAUUGCCCUGAUGUGGGGGAUAACCAUUGGAAACGAUGGCUAAUACCGCAUGAUGCCUACGGGCCAAAGAGGGGGACCUUCGGGCCUCUCGCGUCAGGAUAUGCCUAGGUGGGAUUAGCUAGUUGGUGAGGUAAGGGCUCACCAAGGCGACGAUCCCUAGCUGGUCUGAGAGGAUGAUCAGCCACACUGGAACUGAGACACGGUCCAGACUCCUACGGGAGGCAGCAGUGGGGAAUAUUGCACAAUGGGCGCAAGCCUGAUGCAGCCAUGCCGCGUGUGUGAAGAAGGCCUUCGGGUUGUAAAGCACUUUCAGUCGUGAGGAAGGUGGUAGUGUUAAUAGCACUAUCAUUUGACGUUAGCGACAGAAGAAGCACCGGCUAACUCCGUGCCAGCAGCCGCGGUAAUACGGAGGGUGCGAGCGUUAAUCGGAAUUACUGGGCGUAAAGCGCAUGCAGGUGGUUUGUUAAGUCAGAUGUGAAAGCCCGGGGCUCAACCUCGGAAUUGCAUUUGAAACUGGCAGACUAGAGUACUGUAGAGGGGGGUAGAAUUUCAGGUGUAGCGGUGAAAUGCGUAAGAUCUGAAGGAAUACCGGUGGCGAAGCGGCCCCCUGGACAGAUACUGACACUCAGAUGCGAAAGCGUGGGGAGCAAACAGG
rnacentral:rRNA from 1 species